rnacentral:rRNA from 4 species
GGUAACGGGUGGAGCUGACUGGUACUAAUAGGCCGAGGGCUUGUCCUCAGUUG